GCCGGUGUGUCGGAAUGGCAGACGAUGCAGACUCAAAAUCUGUUGGGUGUACGCCCGUGCGGGUUCAAGUCCCGCCACCGGCA
rnacentral:tRNA from 7 species